rnacentral:lncRNA from 1 species
UUUUUUUGGCCUCCCCGAUGAACUGCUCUUUAUGAUUUGGCUCGACCAAAAACAGCUCGAGACAGACUUCCUGAACAUCCGCCAACACGACACCAGUCAAGCCAGAGGCCUAGCACACCUACAAUAACAAGACCGAGCCUUAUUCCGACGGACAGCCACAAAGUAGCUAUGCGCCAAAGACCUUUACAAAACGGGUUGAGGACAGCAACAUCUCCACAAAGGCACACCAGAACAUCAACACCAGCCGGAAGAACCCAUCCACUCGAAGACAGAACGCAAGCGACUAACUCCAGUGCUGGGAUGAUGAGUUCAAACCAAGAAAACCUGAGACACCACCUAAACCGAAGACCCCUCGGAGAGGAAGAGCGACUCAGACAAGUGGAGAGGAACCCAUCCACUCGAAGACAGACCCGGGUUCUGUCUCUCGUUUUAACUGUGGUUUAACCUCUUGCGGCAAGUGGUAAGUAUGGAAUGGUUGAAGCCGCUUGAUUUCGGUUUGGUUGGUUGUGUCUGUCCCUGCUAGACUAGAUCAAGUUGUUGUUUAGAUUUUGUUUAUUUUUCUAUUUUUUGUUGCCUCUGUACUUCUGUCAAAAAUUUGAAAAUUGGUAAUAAUAUCUUUACAUUUUACCA